UACGGGGGGAGCAAGCGUUGUUCGGAUUUACUGGGCGUAAAGAGCGUGUAGGCGGCCAGGUAGGUCUGCUGUGAAAACUCGAGGCUCAACCUCGAGACGUCGGCGGAAACCAUCUGGCUAGAGUCCGGAAGAGGAGAGUGGAAUCCUGGUGUAGCGGUGAAAUGCGCAGAUAUCAGGAGGAACACCGGUGGCGAAGGCGGAUCUCUGGGCCAUUACUGACGCUGAGGAGCGAAAGCGUGGGGAGCGAACAGG
rnacentral:rRNA from 1 species